rnacentral:lncRNA from 1 species
CAACAAAUCUUUUAUAAAAUAUGUAGGCCUUAAAAUUUCCAUUCUAGUCGCACCUUCUAAUCUUCAAAAGCUGCUAUACAACUCCUCAUAUCUUCAAAAGAGUAAUAAUAUGUCUUAAAUUUAUACCUUAAUUUCAAACAGCUAUAUCUUCUUCAUCCUAACUCUAAAUCCUCUAAUUUUUGUACACAAAUUGUAGUCCAAAUCCUAAAUUUUACAACCUAGGCUUUUAAUUUCUAAAUUUUUUCUUUGAAGUUACCAAAAUCCUUGUUAAGGUCGGAGGCAACCUCCUCAAAGCCCAUUGAACAUGGUAUUCAACCAAUAGAGAUGAAGUUCUCUAUUCCUUGCCUUCAUUUAACCAUGCCUUGAUUUCAUCCCUUUUAAUUAGCCUCCUACUAGUUUAUAUUUUCAUCCUUAGGCUUUUACAUUCUUUCAAAGCUUCAUACUAAACAUUUAGGUCCUAUAUUUUUUU